ensembl:lncRNA
UGAACAGGUUACUAUGUAACAUGUUAGUUACACGGUGAACCGGCUACUAUGUAACAUCUUAGUUACACAGUGAACCGGCUACUAUGUAACAUGUUAGUUACACGGUGAACCGGUUACUAUGUAACAUGUUAGUUACACGGUGAACCGGCUACUAUGUAACAUCUUAGUUACACAGUGAACCGGCUACUAUGUAACAUGUUAGUUACACGGUGAACCGGUUACUAUGUAACAUGUUAGUUACACAGUGAAACGGUUACUAUGUAACAUGUUAGUUACACGGUGAACCGGCUACUAUGUAACAUCUUAGUUACACAGUGAACCGGCUACUAUGUAACAUGUUAGUUACACGGUGAACCGGUUACUAUGUAACAUCUUAGUUACACAGUGAACCGGUUACUAUGUAACAUCUUAGUUACACAGUGAACCGGCUACUAUGUAACAUGUUAGUUACACGGUGAACAG